CCCUUAGAUGUUCUGGGCCGCACGCGCGCUACACUGACGAAUGCAACGAGCUUAUAACCUUGGCCGAAAGGUCUGGGUAAUCUCCAAAUUUCGUCGUGAUGGGGAUAGAUUAUUGCAAUUAUUAAUCUUCAACGAGGAAUGCCUAGUAAGCGCAAGUCAUCAGCUUGCGUUGAUUACGUCCCUGCCCAUUGUACACACCGCCCGUCGCUCCUACCGAUUGAAUGGUCCGGUGAAGCGUUCGGACCGUGGCCUUUGGACGGUUCGCCGUCUGUUGGCUGCGGGAAGUUCGUUAAACCUUAUCAUUUAGAGGAAGGAGAAGUCGUAACA
rnacentral:rRNA from 1 species